ACCCCCCUUCUUAUCGGGCGAUAAAUCGAACCAGUUUAUCGGAAUAUUCAUUUAACUAGCGGAAGCAAAAGGAUCUCUUUGUAAUUUUUAAAACUUUGGAAUGGGACUAAAAUGAAAUUAUUAAAAAUCUCUUCUUUAGAACAUUUAAAAAAAAACGUUUUGUCAUUUUCGAAAACUUUCUUAGGAGGAUUUUUGUUCGAGUGCUACACUAUCAAGCUAUCUUAUUUUUGGUUCGAAAAGAAAUCAGAGUUUUGAAAGGUGUUUUGGUGAAUAUUUUGAAAAACCACUAGUGAGACGGGAAAAUAACAAAUUUACUAAACGGACUAUUUUAUAAUAAAAGUCAAGUACGAUCCAUACCGGUUUGAGUUCGAAAGACUCGAAAAAGGAAAUAUUUAAGUUUACUAUUACAUCGCCAAAACCAAAAUACUUUAGCAUCAUUCAUAGGUCCUCGUACAACUUCCCAAAAAUCCCGGGCAAGACCUCGAUGCGCUACUCGAUCCAUUCCGGUGGAGGGUUACUAACACUAUUACCUGCAAUUAAAAGGCAUCUAUAUGAGCUAUAAAGCUCAGUAAGAAAUCCGAUAAAAUAUCGAACUUUGAAAAUACGUU
rnacentral:lncRNA from 1 species